UCGAGCUUUGGUCGAUUUCGCAUAUUCUGGUUUCAUUCCUUUGAAAAUUGAUAUCCUUUGGCUUUCUUAUUCAAUUGAGCUUUAUAUUACUGCUUUGAAUUCUUGUAUGCUCUUGUCCUACAUGUAUUUGGAUACCUAAAUCGGUUAUGUAAACUUCAUGUUUGUAUCGUAAUGUUUCAUAAAGGCACAUGUACAUUUCGUUGUUCCGCAUGUGCUUCCGAUAUGUCCCAAUUUAUUGUUCACAAUACCCUUUUGUACUCUGGUGUUUGUGGGAUUAUUUGGACCUUUGCCAGAAAUGGUAAAGGGUAUAUGCUUAGAGCUCGCGAUGCUCUAGAUAAUGUUUGGUGGUCAUUCAGAAAUGGAUGGACCAUAUUAUGUUUGGAAUCCCACUUCACCAUCUAUCUAUUUGAUAUGAAAUUCAGAGCCGACCAAGCACUUGGGUAGGGUGAGAGGGCUCGAGUAGGAAAGGGCUACCCGUGGAUGGAGUCGAGAACUCAUCACGGCGUGGAGCCACCACUGAGUUAAACCUCACAUGCACUAUGCUAGGGUACGACGUCUGAGCUUCUAUUUCGUAUUCGUUCUUUAAUAUUCUUUGAAAUGGUCCAUAUGCUAUUGAUAUGUUCCGAAAUGUUUCAUUUGUCAUUGAUAUGCUCCGAAACAUUUCAUAGGCCAUUGAUAUGCUCCGAAAUAUUCCAUCUGUUAUUGUUAUGCUUCGAAAUGUUCCAUAUCAUUGAUAUGCUCCGGAACAUUUCAUACGCCAUUGAUAUGCUCCGAAAUGCUUCAUCUGCUAUUGUCUCAAAUUAUUGUUCACAAUACCCUUUUGUACUCUGGUGUUUGUGGGAUUAUUUGGACCUUUGCCAGAAAUGGUAAAGGGUAUGUGCUUAGAGCCUACGAUGCUCUAGAUUAUGUUUGGUGGUCAUUCAGAAAUGGAUGGACCAUAUUAUGUUUGGAAUCCCAUUUCAUCUUCUAU
rnacentral:lncRNA from 1 species